AUUGAACGCUGGCGGCAGGCCUAACACAUGCAAGUCGAGCGGAGCGGCGGACGCGUGCGUAAUGCCUAGGAAUCUGCCUGGUAGUUUGGGAUAACGUCCGGCAACGGGCGCUCAUACCGCAUACUAUCAGAUGAGCCUAGGUCGGAUUAGCUAGUUGGUGGGGUAAAGGCCUACCAAGGCGACGAUCCGUACCUUGUCUGAGAGGAUGAUCAGUCACACUGGAACUGAGACACGGGCCAGACUCCUACGGGAGGCAGCAGUGGGGAAUAUUGGACAAUGGGCGAAAGCCUGAUACAGCCAUGCCGCGUGUGUGAAGAAGGUCUUCGGAUGGUAAAGCACUUUAAGUUGGGAGGCGGUACCAACAGAAUAAGCACCGGCUAACUACGUGCCAGCCGCCGCGGUAAUUC
rnacentral:rRNA from 1 species